GCAUUAGUCAAUUAUAUGAUAAAAAUUUUAAUAUUUCUUUUAAAAUCAUCUCAUUACAUAGUAACUAGUUCAAAUGAUAAUGAAAUUAAGUUCAAAAAAAAAUAUGAAGAUGGAUACUUGGUAAAUCUUGAUGAUCUUAGAAAAGAUAAUAUUGAGUGUCUAGUUGCUAUGAACGCUAAAGUAAAUAAAAAUAGUCAGAUUUGACAUAGU
rnacentral:lncRNA from 1 species